GGAUACUUGGCUACGUGCUUUACAAUGAAUUGAAUAGAUAUGAAUAUGGAUAUCAAAACAAAGUGAAAAAUCAAAAAGGCUUGCUCUCGGCCUUUACAGUUGCUUACAGAGCAAAGAGUGUCUGUUAAUACAAAAAUUUACUUAUAACUAGACAACAACUAUAACGAGAUAACAAUAUUCUGUUAAUAACAAUAGCUUACAGAGCGACAUGGAUAACCAGUUUAUAAAUGUAAAUGUCAUUUUCAUGCGUGGCUAGCUUUUCAAUGAAAGUUUUUUGGAGCCUUAACCUAUAGGAGCAUAGAGGUUCAAUACCUGAGGAAUUGUAGAUGACUUUUCUUUCACAGAUUUCCAAUUCUUUGGCCGCAGUGGGGGAGAUGGUGAACCAAAUUGGAAAGCCGUAGAUUAGCACCGGUCUAAUAGCCACCUUAUAGAGCAGUAGUUUAGUGGACUGCGGCAAGUAUUUACUAUUUAGUAUAUAUGAAAAUGACCCCAAAAUUCUUCUCGUCUUUUGCAGUACUUAUAUUCUAACAAUCUAUCCACAGAUGUUCAAUUUAUCGUUUGCGAAUUUACCUUGGAUCUUUAUCGACUUUUUUUUGCAGAAAAGUCAAAGUCGACUUAAGUGUCUAAAAAAUCCUUAUGCAUAAUCAUGGCUGAGUUAUUAAAAGGUUGUUUCAUUUGUACAAAAACAGGGGUGUUUUAUUUGCCCAUUAAAGGCCUGUACUAUUGGGUUGCCCAAAAAGUAAUUGCGGAUUUUUCAUAUAGUCGG